CAGAUUAACGCAGCUCAAAUAUGUGGCCAAACGUGUUUUUCUGUGCAUAUGCCAAUGCGCAGGUAGCUCUGGGGCCUUUGAGAGGAAGUAGGAUGUGCCUCUACUCCGGGCGACUUUGGAAAAAGUGACUUCUCUGUGUAUUGACAACUAAUUUAUCAUUGGAAGCACAUGAGGAAACAGACACUGAGAGAUGUGAGAGUAAACCUUUCCAAGGUACAAUUAAUCUGUGCCUGAGCUUGUAAAGGAAUCACGGCUUUCAAACUCUGAGACAGGUGCUCCUUCAAUGCACCAGGCUGCCUCGCCUACUGCCUACGAGAAAGCAUCAUGGAGGGCACCCCAUCUGCCUCUUUGCAGUGACUCUUAGGGGACGCCAUUAAUUUACCCAUGGUGACAACUACUCUCUUCUGCCUAUUUUGCCUUCCAUGUCAUGGUUUGCAUCCAGGCUCCAGGGGAAGCUCACCAUCAGCACCACAGAUACCCUGCACAAAGCCAGACACGGGAAAGAGAGAGGCUUAAGGUAGAAGGAAGGGUAAAAGUUCAACUUUCAGAUGGCAGUUCGGCUGUAGACAACAGAAUGAGAAGGUGGUGGCCAUGUUGCUUCUUUCACCUUCAACUUCGAAUUUAAGUCCUGAAAUGUAUCUGCCUCUGUUUCUAUCAAUCUGUCUCUGGAUCACUGAUCAUCCAUCCACCUAUCUAUCAUUUAUCUCCCUCUCUCUCUCUAACAAAUCUAUCACCUGUCAUUUAUCAAUCAUCUAUCUAUCAUCUAUCAGCUAUUUCCUAUUGUUCUAUCUGUUCCUUCAUUUCUCUCCCUUUCUCCUUUUUUCCUUUUCAAAAAUAAAACUGGUACUAAUGCAGAAGUCUGAAAGUAGACCUUGAAAGCUAUCACUACUCUUAUUUUCAAGGGGUGGAGUUUUUUCUAACUUGUCUGGCUUUAACUUUCCUAUUCUCUUCUGAUAUUUGUCCUUAUUGCUACAUGUCAGAGAACCUCUUUGAAAAUUCUUCUGUUUAAUGGGGUUCAGGGAAAUAAAAAUCUACUUUAAGAAAGAUAAAAUGAAGCUGAUAUGGACUUGGUAAGUAAUUUCUGUGGAGGUCCAUUUUCAUAUGCAUGCAAAUCUGUCUAAAUGUUGUUUCAAAUUUUAAAUCAUGUGCACGUAAAACUCAUAAAACUCAUUUAUGUGUUUUUAAAUGCUGUUUAAAAUCUUAAAGUAUAUACACACACACAGAGCUUAACAUGCAUUAUAAUAGCAUGCAACCUGAAAAGUAAGUUUGAAAACUGAACUGGCUUUGCAAUGCAGCAAUAGACUAAUCAAGUAUCAUUUUAUAUAAUGUGUAUGCCUCUGAGUGCAGCAUGCAAAUAUGCUAUUUAGAAUAUUUUCCUGAUUGAAUGAACAAGCCCACAGGUUCACCGUUUUAUAUUUGUUCUCUUAAAAACAUGAAACUCAUUUUGAAAAUGCUGGUUUAAAUGGGCGUUAUUAAGUCUUUAUCAGUUCUGAGCAUUUCAGCCUUUUGCAUCCAGAAAUUUCUCAAUCUGACAGAAUAAGAAAUGCAUUUACAUGGCCUAAGCUCUUAAAUUGUCCCUUUCAAUUAAUGCCCCAUCAUGGAGCAAUCUGGAAACCAUUACUCAGUAACUCUUCAUUAUAAUUGCUUGCAGCUGAGUAUCCAGCCCUUGGUAAUAUAAGAAUAAAAGAAAACUCAGUUAGUAACAAGUGCAAUUGAUUCCAUUCAGAAUUCCCCUGGUGCUUUGCCAUGUUUGGCCUGCUUGAGAGGAAACACGAGGGUUUGGAUUUUUUUUUUUUUCCUUUUGGGGCCAGGAAAUGAAUUGGCAGACAUAAGAUGGUUUGUGUGGGGCUUGCCUUCAUUUUUCAGCUGGUCCUAGUUAAAAAUGAGACGAUGGGGCUCCUGCUUUCUCCCCCACUGGCUACAUUUUUUGUUGUUGUUGUUGGGGUUUUUUUUGUUGUUGUUUUUUUAAGAGCGCUUUUCUGGUAAUAGAUAAGACUACAAAACGUCAAUUUGCUGCAAACUAACAGCAUCCAGAAACUGUCACCUUCCGUGGCCACAGCCGAUCUUGGGUCUUAUUUCUCCUAAGGAGGGGGUUUUAGAAUUUGAUUCACUCCUACCUUGAUCUUGCCUUUAUGACAGCAAAGUCCCUGGUGCAUUUUGUACAGGUGGGGAGUGUUUAUGUGUUUGGAGGCUAUCCAUCACCAACUCCAGAAACGUAAAGAUCUAAAAUUAUGAUAGAUGAAAAUGUGAAAAUGUGAUAUGGUAAACUCACCACCACCACCCCCCCUCCCCCGCCACAACCCCUCAUUCUCUGUGUAAAUCAGGAACUUGGCUUUUAAAAAUGGUGGAGGGAAAUAUUCUUAUCACUCAUUCCCCUCAGAGACCACGCAGCUCAGCACUGACACCACACUGGCACCUAGCACCCCGUGUCCCACUGCCCUCAGCACCAGUGACCAUGGGGACAGUCAGUUCAUAACAUCCUACCUCCCUUCUCCCCUAUAGAUGAUUGAGGCCAGGGGACAAACGUGCCCUACUUCAUGAAUUUAAUUUAUGUAAAUUAUAAAAUACAUUUUAUUACAAAAAAUUGAUGCUCGGCAUAGAAAAGUAGAAGCCAAUAAGCUAACUGCUCUUAGU